rnacentral:rRNA from 1 species
GAUGAACGCUGGCGGCGUGCCUAAUACAUGCAAGUCGAGCGAACAGACGAGGAGCUUGCUCCUUUGACGUUAGCGGCGGACGGGUGAGUAACACGUGGAUAACCUACCUAUAAGACUGGGAUAACUUCGGGAAACCGGAGCUAAUACCGGAUAACAUGUUGAACCGCAUGGUUCAAUAGUGAAAGACGGUCUUGCUGUCACUUAUAGAUGGAUACGGGCCGCAUGAGCUAGUUGGUAAGGUAACGGCUUACCACGGCAAGGAUGCGUAGCCGACCUGAGAGGGGGAUCGGCCACACUGGAACGGAGACACGGUCCAGACUCCUAAGGGAGGCAGCAGUAGGGAAUCUGCCGCAAUGGGCGAAAGCCUGACGGAGCAACGCCGCGUGAGUGAAGAAGGUCUUCGGAGCGUAAAACUCUGUUAUGAGGGAAGAACAAAUGUGUAAGUAACUAUGCACGUCUUGACGGUACCUAGUCAGAAAGCAACGGCUAACUACGUG